UGGGGAAUAUUGGACAAUGGGCGCAAGCCUGAUCCAGCCAUGCCGCGUGAGUGAUGAAGGCCUUAGGGUUGUAAAGCUCUUUCGCCGACGAAGAUAAUGACGGUAGUCGGAGAAGAAGCCCCGGCUAACUUCGUGCCAGCAGCCGCGGUAAUACGAAGGGGGCUAGCGUUGUUCGGAAUCACUGGGCGUAAAGCGCACGUAGGCGGAUUGUUAAGUCAGGGGUGAAAGCCUGGAGCUCAACUCCAGAACUGCCCUUGAUACUGGCAAUCUCGAGUCCGGAAGAGGUAAGUGGAACUGCGAGUGUAGAGGUGAAAUUCGUAGAUAUUCGCAAGAACACCAGUGGCGAAGGCGGCUUACUGGUCCGGUACUGACGCUGAGGUGCGAAAAGCGUGGGGAGCAAAACAGGAUUAGAUACCCUGGUAGUCCACGCCGUAAAACGAUGGAGGCUAGCCGUUGGCGAGCAUGCUCGUCAGUGGCGCAGCUAACGCAUUAAGCCUCCCGCCUGGGGAGUACGGUCGCAAGAUUAAAAACUCAAAAUGAAUUGACGGGGUCAUAGCUGUUUCCU
rnacentral:rRNA from 1 species